GAUCUAAUAGUUAAUCGGCAUAACGACAAUUUUUCAUAUUGUAAUGGGACGUUCAAUUCGUCCUUAGAUCU
rnacentral:tRNA from 1 species